AUGUCUCAGCCAGGCACUCCCCUGUGUAACAAUGUGCCCCGCCCACAUCUUGCUCACAUGGCUGUGACUUCACUAUUCCCUUAAAGCGAUACACCGCGGCUUAAUAAAGAAAAGGCAAAAGGGAGCACGAGAUUGAUUGCUACACCAGCGGCUCGCCUGUCACCAGCCAACACUAACUGGUUGCCCCAAGGGGUGAGUUUUAUGGGACACACCACAAUAUUGCCAGGAUGCUGUCUGAUACUGCGGCAGCAAUGAGAGCUAAAACACCCAUAAACAACUGUAUCUUACAGGUCAGAAUAUUCUGUGUGGGUUUGCGAAUGCUUUGACCGGAGGAAUGAUCUGUAAAUCUGAAAUUUUAGGGUGCAAUCUCUAUUUUGACCUGCAGCGACUCCGAUGGAAAUACAAGAGAAGUCCAAAAAGUUGGAGUAGCCUCCGUCGAUAGAGAUGUGUCUGAAGAGAAAAGAACGAGUCCAAAGGAGGCCAUGAGAGGAGGGCUGGAGGAAAGAAGGAUGGAAAAGAAGGGAUUUUGAGGAUGAUGUCAUGUGGAAACUGUAUAUUUUGAGGAUGAUGUAAGAUGGAGACUGUAUAUUUUGAGGAUGAUGUCUGUUGGAGACUGUACAUUUUGAGGAUGAUGUCAGUUGGAGACUUUAUAUUUUGAAGAUGAUGUCAGAUGGAGACUGUAUAUUUUGAAGAUGAUGUCAGAUGGAGACUGUAUAUUUUGAAGAUGAUGUCAGAUGGAGACUGUAUAUUUUGAAGAUGAUGUCAGAUGGAGACUGUAUAUUUUGAGGAUGAUGACAUGUGGAAACUAUAUAUUUUGAGGAUGAUGUCAGAUGGAGACUGUAUAUUUUGAGGAUGAUGUCAGAUGGAGACUGUAUAUUUUGAGGACAAUGUCAGAUGGAGACUGUAUAUUUUGAAGAUGAUGUCAGAUGGAGACUGUAUAUUUUGAGGAUGAUGUCAUGUGGAAACUAUAUAUUUUGAGGAUGAUGUCAGAUGGAGACUGUAUAUUUUGAAGAUGAUGUCAGAUGGAGACUGUAUAUUUUGAAGAUGAUGUCAGAUGGAGACUGUAUAUUUUGAGGAUGAUGUCAUGUGGAAACUAUAUAUUUUGAGGAUGAUGUCAGAUGGAGACUGUAUAUUUUGAAGAUGAUGUCAGAUGGAGACUGUAUAUUUUGAGGAUGAUGUCAUGUGGAAACUAUAUAUUUUGAGGAUGAUGUCAGAUGGAGACUGUAUAUUUUGAGGAUGAUGUCAGAUGGAGACUGUAUAUUUUGAAGAUGAUGUCAGAUGGAGACUGUAUAUUUUGAGGAUGAUGUCAUGUGGAAACUAUAUAUUUUGAGGAUGAUGUCAGAUGGAGACUGUAUAUUUUGAGGAUGAUGUCAGAUGGAGACUGUAUAUUUUGAAGAUGAUGUCAGAUGGAGACUGUAUAUUUUGAGGAUGAUGUCAUGUGGAAACUAUAUAUUUUGAGGAUGAUGUCAGAUGGAGACUGUAUAUUUUGAGGAUGAUUUCAGAUGGAGACUGUAUAUUUUGAGGAUGAUGUCAGAUGGAGACUGUAUAUUUUGAGGAUGUGAGGAUGAUGUCAUAUGGGCACU